CAGCGCCACUAGUGGGAAUCGUAUUUAUUUGGCCUAAAGCGUCCGUAGCCGGUUUGAUAAGUUCUUUGUGAAAUUGUUAUGCUUAACAUAACAACGUGCAGGGAAUACUGUUAGACUUGGGACCGCGAGGAGUCAGAGGUAUUUCUAGGGGAGCGGUAAAAUGCUAUAAUCCUAGAAGGACCACCUGUGGCGAAGGCGUCUGACUAGAACGGUUUCGACGGUGAGGGACGAAAGCUAGGAGAGCAAUCCGGAUUAGAUACCCGCGUAGUCC
rnacentral:rRNA from 1 species